AUGCAUGUUAACAUUAGAAGCCUCCUCCCUAAGUUUGUUCUAUUCACUGCUUUAGCACACUCUGCCAACCCGGAUGUUCUAGCUGUGUCUGAAUCCUGGCUUAGGAAGACCACCAAAAAUUCAGACAUUUUAAUUCCAAACUACAACAUUUUCAGACAAGAUAGAACUGCCAAAGGGGGCGGUGUUGCAAUCUACUGCAAAGAUAGCCUGCAGAGUUCUGUCCUACUAUCCAGGUCUGUACCCAAACAAUUUGAACUUCUACUUUUGAAAAUCCACCUCUCUAAAAACAAGUCUCUCACCGUUGCCGCCUGCUAUAGACCACCCUCUGCCCCCAGCUGUGCUCUGGACACCAUAUGUGAACUGAUUGCCCCCCAUCUAUCUUCAGAGCUUGUGCUGCUAGGCGACCUAAACUGGAACAUGCUUAACACCCCAGCCAUCCUACAAUCUAAACUUGAUGCCCUCAACCUCACACAAAUUAUCAAUGAACCUACCAGGUACCUCCCCAAAGCCUUAAACACGGGCACCCUCAUAGAUAUCAUCCUAACCAUCCAUCCUAACUUCUCCCCAGACCUGACUGCCCUUAACCAACACAAAAACAUCCUAUGGCGUUCUGCAUUAGCAUCGAACAGCCCCCGUGAUAUGCAGCUGUUCAGGGAAGCUAGAAACCAUUAUACACAGGCAGUUAGAAAAGCCAAGGCUAGCUUUUUCAAGCAGAAAUUUGCUUCCUGCAACACUAACUCAAAAAAGUUCUGGGACACUGUAAAGUCAAUGGAGAAUAAGAACACCUCCUCCCAGCUGCCCACUCCACUGAAGAUAGGAAACACUGUCACCACUGAUAAAUCCACCAUAAUUGAGAAUUUCAAUAAGCAUUGUUCUACGGCUAGCCAUGCUUUCCACCUGGCUACUCCUAACCCGGUCAACAGCACUGCACCCCCCACAACAACUCGCCCAAGCCUUCCCCAUUUCUCCUUCUCCCAAAUCUGCUCAGCUGAUGUUCUGAAUGAGCUGCAAAAUCUGGACCCCUACAAAUCAGCCGGGCUAGACAAUCUGGACCCUUUCUUUCUAAAAUUAUCUGCCAAAAUUGUUGCCACCCCUAUUACUAGCCUGUUCAACCUCUCUUUCGUGUCGUCUGAGAUUCCCAAAGAUUGGAAAGCAGCUGCGGUCAUCCCCCUCUUCAAAGGGGGUGACGCUCUUGACCCAAACUGCUACAGACCUAUAUCUAUCCUACCAUGCCUUUGUAAGGUCUUCAAAAGCCAAGUCAACAAACAGAUUACCGACCAUUUCGAAUCUCACCAUACCUUCUCUGCUAUGCAAUCUGGUUUCAGAGCUGGUCAUGGGUGCACCUCAGCCACGCUCAAGGUCCUAAAUGAUAUCUUAACCGCCAUCGAUAAGAAACAUUACUGUGCAGCCGUAUUCAUUGAUCUGGCCAAGGCUUUCGACUCUGUCAAUCAUCCGUUUUGUCACCAAAGCCCCAUAUACUACCCACCAUUGCGACCUGUACGCUCUCGUUGGCUGGCCCUCGCUUCAUACUCGUCGCCAAACCCACUGGCUCCAUGUCAUCUACAAGACCCUGCUAGGUAA
ensembl:lncRNA